GAUGAACGCUGGCGGCGUGCCUAAUACAUGCAAGUCGAGCGAACAGACGAGGAGCUUGCUCCUUCGACGUUAGCGGCGGACGGGUGAGUAACACGUAGGUAACCUACCUAUAAGACUGGGAUAACUUCGGGAAACCGGAGCUAAUACCGGAUAAUAUUUUGAACCGCAUGGUUCGAUAGUGAAAGACGGCUUUGCUAUCACUUAUAGAUGGACCUGCGCCGUAUUAGCUAGUUGGUAAGGUAACGGCUUACCAAGGCAACGAUGCGUAGCCGACCUGAGAGGGUGAUCGGCCACACUGGAACUGAGACACGGUCCAGACUCCUACGGGAGGCAGCAGUAGGGAAUCUUCCGCAAUGGGCGAAAGCCUGACGGAGCAACGCCGCGUGAGUGAUGAAGGUCUUCGGAUCGUAAAACUCUGUUAUUAGGGAAGAACAAACGUGUAAGUAACUGUGCACGUCUUGACGGUACCUAAUCAGAAAGCCACGGCUAACUACGUG
rnacentral:rRNA from 1 species